CACGGAGGGAGCAAACGUUGUUCGGAAUCACUGGGCGUAAAGGGCGCGUAGGCGGUUCUACAAGUCAGAGGUGAAAUCCCGUGGCCCAACCACGGGCCUGCCUUUGAAACUGUGGAACUUGAGGCCGUGAGGGGAGAGCGGAAUUCCUGGUGUAUCGGUGAAAUGAGUUGAUAUCAGGAGGAACACCGGUGGCGAAGGCGGCUCUCUGGCACGAGUCUGACGCUGAGGUGCGAAAGCAUGGGGAGCAAACGGG
rnacentral:rRNA from 1 species